rnacentral:rRNA from 1 species
AGAGUUUGAUCCUGGCUCAGAACGAACGCUGGCGGCAGGCUUAACACAUGCAAGUUGAACGGGAACAUACGAUAGCUUGCUAUAGUAUGUGAGAGUGGCGCACGGGUGAGUAAUACAUGGGAACAUACCUUGAAGUGGGGGAUAACUUCUGGAAACGGAUGCUAAUACCGCAUAUACCCUGAGGGGGAAAGAUUUAUCGCUUUAAGAUUGGCCCAUGGCAGAUUAGGUAGUUGGUGGGGUAAAGGCCUACCAAGCCGACGAUCUGUAGCUGGUCUGAGAGGACGAUCAGCCACAUUGGGACUGAGACACGGCCCAGACUCCUACGGGAGGCAGCAGUGAGGAAUAUUGGGCAAUGGGGGCAACCCUGACCCAGCCAUGCCGCGUGAGUGAAGAAGGUUUUCGAAUUGUAAAGCUCUUUCGGAUGUGACGAUGAUGACGGUAGCAUCUAAAGAAGCCCCGGCAAACUUCGUGCCAGCAGCCGCGGUAAUACGAAGGGGGCGAGCGUUGUUCGGAAUUACUGGGCGUAAAGGGUGUGUAGGUGGACGUGUAAGAUAGCGGUGAAAUGCCGGAGCUCAACUUCGGAAUUGCCAUUAUAACUAUGCGUCUAGAAUUAUAGAGAGGAUAGCGGAAUACCCAGUGUAGAGGUGAAAUUCGUAGAUAUUGGGUAGAACACCAGUGGCGAAGGCGGCUAUCUGGCUAUAUAUUGACACUGAGGCACGAAAGCAUGGGGAUCAAACAGGAUUAGAUACCCUGGUAGUCCAUGCCGUAAACGAUGAAUGCUGGUUGUCGGACGAAUGUUCGGUGACGAAGUUAACGCGAUAAGCAUUCCGCCUGGGGAGUACGGCCGCAAGGUUAAAACUCAAAGGAAUUGACGGGGACCCGCACAAGCGGUGGAGCAUGUGGUUUAAUUCGAUGCAACGCGAAGAACCUUACCUGGUCUUGACAUCCACAGAACUUUCCAGAGAUGGAUUGGUGCCUUCGGGAACUGUGAGACAGGUGCUGCAUGGCUGUCGUCAGCUCGUGUUGUGAAAUGUUGGGUUAAGUCCCGCAACGAGCGCAACCCUUAUCCUUUGUUGCCAGCGGUCCGGCCGGGAACUCAAAGGAGACUGCCAGUGAUAAACUGGAGGAAGGUGGGGAUGACGUCAAGUCAUCAUGGCCCUUACGACCAGGGCUACACACGUGCUACAAUGGCGCAUACAAAGAGAAGCGACCUCGCGAGAGCAAGCGGACCUCAUAAAGUGCGUCGUAGUCCGGAUUGGAGUCUGCAACUCGACUCCAUGAAGUCGGAAUCGCUAGUAAUCGUGGAUCAGAAUGCCACGGUGAAUACGUUCCCGGGCCUUGUACACACCGCCCGUCACACCAUGGGAGUGGGUUGCAAAAGAAGUAGGUAGCUUAACCUUCGGGAGGGCGCUUACCACUUUGUGAUUCAUGACUGGGGUGAAGUCGUAACAAGGUAACCGUAGGGGAACCUGCGGUUG